GCAAGUCGAGCGCGCCCUUCGGGGUGAGCGGCGGACGGGUGAGUAACGCGUGGGAAUAUGCCCUUCUCUAAGGAAUAGCCACUGGAAACGGUGAGUAAUACCUUAUACGCCCUUUGGGGGAAAGAUUUAUCGGAGAAGGAUUAGCCCGCGUUAGAUUAGGUAGUUGGUGGGGUAAUGGCCUACCAAGGCGACGAUCCGUAGCUGGUCUGAGAGGAUGAUC
rnacentral:rRNA from 1 species